rnacentral:rRNA from 11 species
GUUGACCUCGAAUCAGGUAGGACUACCCGCUGAACUUAAGCAUAUCA